UAUAUAUUCCAGAGUAGGGAG
rnacentral:piRNA from 1 species